AGUAAGCUAAUUUCUAA
rnacentral:tRNA from 1 species